rnacentral:rRNA from 1 species
UACGUAGGGUGCAAGCGUUGUCCGGAAUUAUUGGGCGUAAAGAGCUCGUAGGCGGCUUGUCACGUCGGGUGUGAAAGCCCGGGGCUUAACCCCGGGUCUGCAUUCGAUACGGGCUGGCUAGAGUCCGGAAGAGGAGUGUGGAAUUCCUGGUGUAGCGGUGAAAUGCGCAGAUAUCAGGAAGAACACCUAUGGCGAAGGCAGCACUCUGGGACGGUACUGACGCUGAGACGCGAAAGCGUGGGGGAGCGAACAGG